rnacentral:rRNA from 1 species
UACGUAGGGUGCGAGCGUUGUCCGGAAUUAUUGGGCGUAAAGAGCUCGUAGGCGGUGUGUCGCGUCGGCCGUGAAAACCUGGGGCUUAACUCUGGGCGUGCGGUCGAUACGGGCAUCACUAGAGUUCGGCAGGGGAGACUGGAAUUCCUGGUGUAGCGGUGAAAUGCGCAGAUAUCAGGAAGAACACCGGUGGCGAAGGCGGCCCACUGGUCCGGUACUGACGCUGAGGUGCGAAAGCGUGGGGAGCAAACAGG